rnacentral:rRNA from 1 species
GUCUAUGGCCAUACCACCCUGAAUGUGCCUGAUAUAUUGUCUGAUCUUGGAAGCUAAUCAGGAUCAGGCCUGGUUAGUACUUGGAUAGGAGACCAAAUACC